rnacentral:rRNA from 1 species
GACGAACGCUGGCGGCGUGCCUAAUACAUGCAAGUUGAGCGCUGAAGGUUGGUACUUGUACCAACUGGAUGAGCAGCGAACGGGUGAGUAACGCGUGGGGAACCUGCCUUUGAGCGGGGGACAACUUUUGGAAACGAAUGCUAAUACCGCAUAACAACUUUAAACACAAGUUUUAAGUUUGAAAGAUGCAAUUGCUUCACUCUAAGAUGAUCCCGCGUUGUAUUAGCUAGUUGGUGAGGUAAGGGCUUACCAAGGCGAUGAUACAUAGCCGACCUGGGAGGGGGGUCGGCCCAAUUGGGAAUGAGACACGGCCCAAACUCCUACGGGAGGCAGCAGGAGGGAAUCUUCGGCAAUUGACGAAAGUCUGACCGGGCAACGCCGCGUGAGUGAAGGAGGGUUUCGGAUCGUAAAACUCUGUUGGUAGAGAAGAACGUUGGUGAGAGUGGAAAGCUCAUAAAGUGACGGUAACUACCCAGAAAGGGACGGCUAACUACGUG